rnacentral:tRNA from 2 species
UCCUUGAUGGUCCAGUGGCUAGGACUCUGUGCUUCUGAUGCAGGAGGCCUGGGUUUGAUCCCUGGUCAGGGAA